AGAGUUUGAUCCUGGCUCAGGAUGAACGCUAGCGGCAGGCCUAACACAUGCAAGUCGAACGGUAACAGGGAAAAGCUUGCUUUUCUGCUGACGAGUGGCGCACGGGUGCGUAACGCGUAUACGAUCUACCUUUUACAGGGGGAUAGCCUUUAGAAAUGAAGAUUAAUAUUCCAUAGUAUAAUUUAGUGGCAUCACUUAAUUAUUAAAGUUACGGCGGUAAAAGAUGAGUAUGCGUUCUAUUAGCUAGUAGGUGUGGUAACGGCACACCUAGGCAACGAUAGAUAGGGGCCCUGAGAGGGGGAUCCCCCACACUGGUACUGAGACACGGACCAGACUCCUACGGGAGGCAGCAGUGAGGAAUAUUGGACAAUGGAGGCAACUCUGAUCCAGCCAUGCCGCGUGCAGGAAGACUGCCCUAUGGGUUGUAAACUGCUUUUAUACAGGAAGAAACCUUUCCACGUGUGGAGAGCUGACGGUACUGUAAGAAUAAGGAUCGGCUAACUCCGUGCCAGCAGCCGCGGUAAUACGGAGGAUCCAAGCGUUAUCCGGAAUCAUUGGGUUUAAAGGGUCCGUAGGUGGAUAAUUAAGUCGGAGGUGAAAUCCUGCAGCUCAACUGUAGAAUUGCCUUUGAUACUGGUUAUCUUGAAUUAUUGUGAAGUAGUUAGAAUAUGUAGUGUAGCGGGUGAAAUGCAUAGAUAUUACAUAGAAUACCAAUUGCGGAAGGCAGAUUACUAACAAUAUAUUUGACACUGAUGGACGAAAGCGUGGGGAGCGAACAGGA
rnacentral:rRNA from 1 species